GACGAGUCGAUUAAUGAACGCGAGAUGCGUAUAUUUAUGAGAUAGAGGACAUCCGCCUUAAGUGGCAAGCACGGGAAGUGCUGAUGUUGGACGCACUGAUGUGAACAGUUUAAACGUCCACA
rfam:Lactobacillus crispatus ST1 complete genome, strain ST1